CGGGCUAGAUUAAAGUCAUACAUAUUGAUCUUGAAGCGGAGAACCCAACAAAAAAUGGAAAUGGCUCUCAGCUCCAACGCCAAUCCGUUACUUCCUAUUCUCUCUAGAACUUCGAUUCCUUCCAAUUAUGCUAAUAGAAAUCUCAAAUCAUUUCCUGAUUUCCAUAAUCCAAACUUCAUCCCCAAAUUCUCUGCAAAAAAACCGUUGUUCAUUUGUAAUUCGCGCCAACCAUUCUCACUAAGAAUCAGAGCUCAGGCUUCCAGCGACAGCAAUGUUAAUGUUAACGAAGAUCAAUUUUCCGAUUUUAUCAUCGAAGACGUCCCUCACUUGACAAAUUUUCUCCCUGAUUUACCGUCAUAUCCAAAUCCAUUGAAAAAGAGCCAAGCUUAUGCCAUCGUCAAGAAAACAUUUGUCAGCCCUGAAGAUAUGGUGGCACAGAAGAUUGUUGUUCAGAAGGAAAGUCAUAGGGGAGUACAUUUUCGACGUGCAGGGCCUCGAGAAAAGGUUUAUUUCACUUCGGAAGAAGUGCGUGCUUGUAUUGUGACAUGUGGGGGUUUAUGCCCGGGAAUCAAUACAGUGUUACGUGAGAUAGUAUGCGGUUUGAAUUAUAUGUAUGGAGUUGAUGAUAUACUUGGAAUUCAGGGAGGAUAUAGAGGGUUCUACUCCAAAAAUACCAUUAAAUUGACGCCUAAAGUUGUUAAUGAUAUCCAUAAGCGUGGUGGCACUUUCCUGCAAACUUCAAGAGGAGGUCAUGAUACCAACAAGAUAGUUGACAAUAUUCAGGACCGGGGGAUAAACCAGGUCUACAUAAUUGGAGGGGAUGGUACUCAAAAAGGAGCUGCUGCUAUUUAUAAGGAAGUUGAAAAGCGUGGUCUUAGAGUUGCAGUAGCUGGGAUUCCAAAGACAAUUGAUAAUGAUAUUGCUGUGAUAGACAAAUCUUUUGGUUUUGAUACUGCUGUGGAGGAGGCUCAGAGGGCUAUAAAUGCUGCACAUGUGGAGGUUGAGAGUGUAGAAAAUGGAGUCGGAAUUGUCAAGCUUAUGGGUAGAUACAGUGGGUUCAUUGCUAUGCAUGCAACCUUGGCUAGUCGAGAUGUGGAUUGUUGUUUGAUUCCAGAGGCCCCAUUCUAUUUGGAAGGCCAGGGCGGGCUCUUUGAAUUUAUUGAACAGAGGCUGAAAGAAAAUGGGCAUAUAGUUAUUGUGUUGGCUGAAGGAGCAGGGCAGGACUAUGUUGCUCAGAGCAUGCAUGCAGUUGAUGAGAAAGAUGCAUCAGGAAACAGGUUACUCUUGGAUUCUGGUCUUUGGUUGACACAAAAGAUUAAGGAUCAUUUCACAAAUGUUCAGAAGAUGGCGAUCAAUAUGAAAUAUAUAGAUCCUACAUACAUGAUUCGAGCUAUUCCAAGUAAUGCAUCAGAUAACAUCUACUGCACACUUCUUGCUCAAAGUGCCGUGCAUGGAGCCAUGGCGGGGUACACAGGCUUCACUGUAGGGCCUGUAAACAGCAGACAUGCUUAUAUUCCAAUCAGUUGUGUAACUGAGACUCAAAACACGGUGAAGUUGACAGACAGGAUGUGGGCUCGACUUCUGGCAUCCACGAAUCAACCUAGUUUCGUACAAAAAUGUGAAUUGGUACAGGAAAGAGUUAAUAAGCAAACAAUUGACCAGAUCAACAACAUGAGGAUAACUUCCAUCUAGAGUAAUUGGACUCUGUCAUUGGCAUGUUCCAUUUAUGGAUAUCUCUAGUGCUCAAAUUUAGGGCGUGUAUCUCACCCUUUCACCAGUCAUUGCCGAGUUAUGAUGUGGUUUAUUCAUUGUUAGCGAAAGCUAGUCUAGCUGAUCAGAUUUAUUUUGAUUGAGAUUUGGUGGUUCAGCUGUUCACACACUUGUUUAUUAGAUUCUUUGCAACUAUUUUUGGAGUUUGUUUUAAAGAUUAUGUCUAGAUUUAUACCCUUUUCCUUGGGGAUGAACAAUCAAAUGAGAACUAGUAUUCAAAAUCAGCUGUGUUUCCAAACAGAUUUGUCCACCA